UUAAUUUUUCAUGAGAUUUUGGGAUUAGUCUUUGAGUUAUAUUGUCAUUAUUUUUAAGACAAGAAAGUGAAUGAAAUCAUCUUGAGCUUUGUGAAGUUUUCAAAAGAAAAGGCUCAAGAAUUAAGACAUGACUCUCUCAGAAUUAAGGUUACAUGUUCUACAAGGUACAUAAUUUUAGGUUUCUUUUCAAGGGAAUUAGUUUACAUAUAAUGAGAAUAUUUUUUAUUGUAAAAUAAAAAUAAUUCUAAGGGGAGAUGCUGCCGAAAUUUGGUUAUAAAAUUGAAGUAUUUACAAGGGGAUACUCUUCUAAAAUAGAUAGAGAAAUUGAGAAAAAUAAAAAGGGAGAUUUUAACGAAGUAAAUACUCGAGGUUAAAAAGUGAGUGGAGAGGUUUGAAUUGAUUGUGUAGGACCUAAGGCAAGUGGAUCUUAUGGCUUUACUAGCGCUAGGUAGUUUUUGACAUAUUUCAAUAUAUAUAUAAGUGAAUUUGUGGUAUUAAUUGUAUGUGGUUUUAAGUAUUUGAUUGAUGUUGAUUUUGAUAAAACAUGUGUUGAUUUUAAGAAGGUUGUGGUGAUGUGGUUUCAAACAUGGAUCUUGUUUUGUGUGCAUCAUCAAUUAUAGAGAAGGGAUGUUCAGCUCCUACCUGCAUUAUGCUAAGUAGUGAUAUGCAUUGAGCACAUAGGGAGGUGGGUGGAGUUGUGAGAGCUAUGAAUGCCCAGUCGGUUCUGUGUCUCCGGGUUAUUAGUGGGCCUAUAAUCUCUUGUGUUAUGGAUCAUGGUGUAUGUGACAAGUGAUUGAGCCAAUAAUUAGUGUAAAAGGGGUGUGGGUUACCGAACCUUCAUAACAGCGUAUGACUCAUUGUAUAAUAUAACACUAUGACCUUAAUAUCAUGGAUUUGAGAUAUUAAACUGUAUAAGAUAUAUAUGAUUUUAAUAUGUUUAAAAACUUCUAUAUAUUGUAUGUAUUAAGUUGUGUUGUCAUAAUUUUUGUUUAUUGGGAUUCUGUAUCUCUCUUCUAUAUCAUUUUUUAGAUAUUGUGAGAGCUAUGAAUGGGAGGUGGGUGGAUUUGUGAGAGCUAUGAAUGCGCAGUCGGUUCUGUGUCUCCGGGGUAUUAGUGGGCCCAUAAUCUCUUGUGUUAUGGAUCAGGGUGUAUGUGACAAGUGAUUGAGCCAAUAUUUAGUGUAAAAGGGGUGUGGGUUACCGAACCUUCAUAACAGCGUAUGGCUCAUUGUAUAAUACAACACUAUGACCUUAAUAUCAUGAAUUUGAGAUAUUAAACUGUAUAAGAUAUAUAUGAUUUUAAUAUGUUUAAAAACUUCUAUAUAUUGUAUGUAUUAGGUUGUGUUGUCAUAAUUUUUGUUUAUUGGGAUUCUGUAUCUCUCUUCUAUAUCAUUUUUUAGAUAUUGUGAGAGCUAUGAAUGGGAGGUGAGUGGAUUUGUGAGAGCUAUGAAUGCGCAGUCGGUUCUGUGUCUCCGGGGUAUUAGUGAGCCCAUAAAGAGUAAGCGAUAAUACAGAAAAUGACCUUUUUGAAGUUAGCAUCAAGGUUACUAUUUGGUAUUGUUAUAUUUUUGUAUUAAGGAAAAGAAAAUUCGUGUUGUCCAUAUUUGAUGUACAUAUGUAAGUUUUCUACCCACUCUUGUAUUAAUAAAAGUUAUGAUAUUGUUUACUUAAAUUAAGUAUUAUCUUUGGAUCAUAUUUUAUGAGAGGGGUAUGGGCUGCAACAUUCUUAUUUUAAAAAUAAGUUGUAUGUAUUUCGAUAAAAUAUUUAUUAUUUUUUGUUAAAAAAUUUGAUAAUCACAUAGGUUUACUAUAAAUAUUUUUAAAAAAUUUAUUUUGUUAGAUAUGUUAUUAUAUUCAAGUGAAUAUAGAAAAAAUGUUUAAAUAAAUUUAUUAGAUAAAAGAAUUGAUAGCUUAAAAAAAACUAGGAAUGGGGGGGGGGGGUGCUUACGUUUUGGAAGUUAUCUUUAAAAACUAACGAGCAACAUAAUUUAAGUUACUAAAAACUAUUUAUUGGCAUAAAAUAGAUAUUCCAAUUAAUUCCAACUAUCAAUAGAUAUUUAUUUGCCAGUGUGUUUAUUUCAUAAAUUUAGAGACAAUAUUUUGCUUAUUCAAUUAAUCUGAAGAAAAUGAAUUGAUGUACUACGAGUUCAUGCACUUUACAAUACAAAUUUAUUUUGUAUGCAAAAACAUCCUAGUUGUUGUCUUAGUGAGGGUUUGCUCACUUCUUAUUGUUUAGUGCGCUCGUUUACGUAAUAAUUUGGAUCGAGUGUUGUUUUUCUGUCCAAAUCUGAACUGUCUUUUAUAUUUAACUAUUAUACUAAAAUAUAAACAUAUAACAAAAUUUGCACUAGGAUGAUUACCAUCAAAACUUAGAGAAAAUUUUUAAAUGUCUUAAUUUUUACAAUUUUUGUAACACCCAAAACUUUUUAUUUUAUUAUUAUUGAAAUUUUAUUUUAUUUUAAUAAUUAAUUUAUAAGGUUUUAAUUUAAUUUAAUAGAAAUAAAAACAAUAAUAAUGAUAAAAUGAGGUAUAAUGAUAAAAUUUGGUAAAAUUAUUUUUGAGAUUUAAUUUAAAAUAAUUUUGGGAAAAAAAUGUGAAAAUUUAGAUUCUACGAGUAUUUUUUUUAAAAAAAUAAAAAAUCAGGGGUCAAAAUGUAAUUUAGAAAAAAUUGCGCAACAUCAGCAGCCCGGUUAGCAGUUCCUGGCUAACCAGGACACGCUGCGUGGCAGGGACGUUGACGCAGAAAGCCACGCGGGGACGGAGACACGUGGGCAAUCCGCGUGCG
rnacentral:lncRNA from 1 species